CGCGUAGGUGGUUUGUUAAGUUGGAUGUGAAAGCCCCGGGCUCAACCUGGGAACUGCAUCCAAAACUGGCAAGCUAGAGUACGGUAGAGGGUGGUGGAAUUUCCUGUGUAGCGGUGAAAUGCGUAGAUAUAGGAAGGAACACCAGUGGCGAAGGCGACCACCUAGACUGAUACUGACACUGAGGUGCGAAAGCGUGGGGAGCAAACA
rnacentral:rRNA from 1 species